GGGACAUGGCAUGCUCAGGGAAGGAAGUGGAGGAGGUGGGCAUUGCCAUGGAAAACAUUUUCUUCCUAGUAUGAUCAUGCAAAGACCCCAGCUACAGUGGGAGCAGAGCUGCCUGCCUUCUAGAGACUGAAGUUUGUGUCUCAGCCUCUGUUGGAAAGCUGUCCCAGCUGUGCAGAGACUGCUUCUUUCCACUGAAGAGUCUGACUUUGGCAGGAACCUAGGUGACAAUGGAUCUUGCUCUGAGAGCAGCCACUUGGCCCACCAACCACAUCCAAGUUGGAUUACACUGUCCUCUACAGCUUCUCCUGGAAUGGCAGGAACAGUCAUCUGUACCAAGAAAUUUCACUGAGCUGGAGCAGCAGAUUCCAGCUAAGGACCAGAACGAACAGAGCACUGAUUUUGUAAGCAAGUAGUUUAAAUGGGGUGAAGCUUGGGGGCAUGCAAGACAAAUCAGGCUCCUGAAAGGGGUACAGUAGUCUGGAAAUGUUGAGAGCCACUGACCUGGAAAGAGGGCGUCUUCCGCACCAUUCAACUAUAAAAAUGGGAGGUCUGACCCUCAAAUGACGAGUCAGUUAAUUGCAUAGACUAUUACUACACUAUUAAGGCCUUAACUUGCCUAGCAUUGUUGAAUCCACAGUAUUGCUCACAGCACAAUUUUGAGUGGGAGCCCUAGAUGGCCACUCAAAAUUGUGGCAAAGCAAUAAUGAAACCUUAUUAUGCAAAAUUAGUUUUCCACGAUUUCUCAUGUCUUUUCUACAAGCCAGAGAAUUUUGAGUUAUCCCACAAGUGCAGCCUUAUGUACUAUAAAAGUGCAUCAAAUGAGGUCUUGUAUGCAAGCCUAUGAUACACUGGUGAUUAAUAUUUAGGAUGUGAGGAAUUAUGGAUAAUCAUGGAUA